GGAUGUGGGUCUGACUGCGAUAUCUGUCACCUCAUUGAUCACCAGGGUUGAUUCAGCUGAUCUAGGUGGUAGCAGUAAGGGAGGAGGGGNGCCCAUCUCCACAUACAUCCCUCUUGAAGCUGCAUGCUUGGUUGAGGACGACCUGCCCUGAAUAGAGGAGAACCNAUCUUUGGUUAAGGGUAUAAGAGUAGCUGUGCUCCCCUAUUAUAACCUCCAAACAAAAUCUCAAGGUUGCCCUUUCAUUAUUAUCAUUGAGUAAUACCAGAGUACAUAGGUUGUAUAAAUAUAUAAUAAUCUAUCUAUUAAUCCUCUAACUUUUGAUGGAUUUAGGU
rnacentral:snRNA from 1 species